rnacentral:rRNA from 1 species
ACUAGUCGCGGUGUCUCUUGUGUUGCGCCGCGUUAUUCUUCUUAGAGGGACUGGCGACUCUUAGUCGCACGAGAUUGAGCAAUAACAGGUCUGUGAUGCCCUUAGAUGUUCUGGGCCGCACACGCGCUACACUGAAUAGAUCAGCGUGUUCUUGUCCCUCCCCGACAGGGGCGGGUAAACCGCUGAACCCUAUUCGUGGUAGGGAUCGGGGCUUGCAAUUGUUCCCCGUGAACCAGGAAUUCCCAGUAGGCGCAAGUCAUAAGCUUGCGUCGAUUACGUCCCUGCCCUUUGUACACACCGCCCGUCGCUACUACCGAUUGAAUGUUUUAGUGAGGUCCUCGGACUGUUGCUUUGGCGGGUAACACUGCUUUUGUAGCGGGAAGACGACCAAACUGUAGCAUUUAGAGGAAGUAAAAGUCGUAACAAGGUAUCCGUAG